UACGGAGGGUGCAAGCGUUAAUCGGAAUUACUGGGCGUAAAGCGUGCGCAGGCGGUUUGUUAAGUCCGUUGUGAAAGCCCCGAGCCCAACUUGGGAAUUGCAGUGGAUACUGGCAGGCUGGAGUACGGUAGAGGAAGGUGGAAUUCCCGGUGUAGCAGUGAAAUGCGUAGAGAUCGGGAGGAACACCAGUGGCGAAGGCGGCCUUCUGGACCAGUACUGACGCUCAUGCACGAAAGCGUGGGGAGCAAACAGG
rnacentral:rRNA from 1 species